CCGUCAUUUUAAAAAUUUCAACAAUCCAAUUCCUGUGGUUUUCAAUUUAAUUCAAUCAAGUCCCUAACACCAAGCUGUGUUAGUUGACCAUUAGUAGACUUAACGGCGUGAAGGGUAGGUUAGUCAUUUCACCAAAAACUGACCAUUUUAUAGACUUUAUAAUCCUUAAUCUUCCGUCACACGCAUCAUUUCACUCCCCCUUAGUCCCAAACCCUGCCCGGCUUCUACAGUAGCUAGUGCAACCAUCUUCUUUGGCCAAUCGCACCAGUUUUGUGACAACUCGUUAUUCCGAGCGGACUAAACGAAACUCUAUCAUAAAGUCCCCAUACGGUAAUACCGAGUAAUCGUUGGGCCAGGCGAGCGGGAUACUAGUUGAUAACGCUAUUAGGUUUGACAAACCUCACAUCGGGACUUGGAGGACGGGCGUGAACUUUUAUGCCUUGGCACUGAUCGUUGAUGAUAGACAUUGAUCCGGGGCUAAACAACUCUAUUGUCACAGCAUCGGUACCACACAGUUUAGUAACUUCACGAUGGGGCAGUUCCCAUGACAUGUUUUAUAACUGGUACUUAGGUGCUGCGCUGGAGUUUGCAUGGAGGAGUGUAGUGGCUAUCUAGAACCGUUGUUGGGUUCUUAUUUUAAAGUAUUCAAUAUGAUUGGUGGCAUGAUUCUGGUCAGUCGCACGCCUUGCGGUAAUACUCCUCAAGUGGAAAUUGAGGGUGUCGCAAGUUUCAGCUUCGAUCAUCCUAACCAUCAGGCAAUACGCGAUCUUGUUGAUUAAUUUCCACAUUGUUGGUAUGACAUUGUGUUAAUUUUAGUUAGAAUCUUUUAUUUUGUUAUGCAUGCCAUGCAUAUAAUCUGUAAUGUAGUUUGUUUUCAUGGAAUUCUAGUUCGAAUUAGGGUGCCGGUGACCCGUCUCCUUGUCUGGAUCCAAAUCGGGUCUUGUUGAGUACGAGGAGGGGGUUCAGGAUCGACCUCUAUUUCAGUCGGCGAGCAUGAAGACAGGGGGCUUGCUUGGUU